rnacentral:tRNA from 2 species
GGGUACGCGGCGGAGUGGGAAGGGCCGCACCGGGCUGUAAACCCGGACUCUAAGAGCGUAGUAGGUUCGAUUCCUACCGUACCCA